ensembl:lncRNA
AGCUCCGUCGUUAUAAAAAGAUCCUUCCAUGGGAGACAGGGAGACCAACAGAAGGCGGCAAAUUCCUUCCCUGGCAUGCUAGAUUGAGGUGCCGAGAGUUCAUUCAUUUGGGGACUGACUUGACAAGAUGGGACAUGUAUUGUAAUUAACACUUGCUGGUGUAUACUUGGGACUAGCAGCCAAGCAGUGGCUGAAGGCAGUUAGGUUUGAGUGGUUCAUUGAGUUCUCCUAAUGCUUUCCCUCUAACACGGUCCAUCACACGCUUGGUAGCUGUUUAAUUAAUGCAUGGCCACUGCUUGGGAACUAGAUAAGGCGAUCAUCCAGAAUAGAGCAUCAUGGGAAAGUGAGUUUUAAUGUGGAUAAAAGCUCUUCCAGAGGAAAAUGUAGAAGGGGGAAAAAAGGAACAUGGGUAAAUGGAUCAGGGUCCAGAAGAGUCUUUGGCCAGAUGUCCAUCUCUGGCUCUCUUCUUCAAUGCCAGUCAAAGAUAUGAUCCCUCAUUGAACACAUCCCUUUAUCCCGAGGUCAUUGAUUGAAGUCAUUUCUCUGUCCCCCAUCACUUAUAUUUUAGCUAACCUUCUCUGACCUUUCAACCUCUGACCACACACACACACACACACACACGCACACACCAUUUAACUACAAAGUGGGUGAAAAAAAAAAGAACACUUCAGUCUUUCUAAAAAGAAAGAAGACUUUUGAACAUAGAAUCCAUAUCUCACGGCGAGCUCUCUCCUAACUAUUGCAACCCUGGCAACCAAUCAGAAUAUACAAAAGAAAACAUGCUAGUACUUAUUGUGGUAAUGCAGAGGGGAAACCUCACGUUUGGCAUUAGCAACAGAGACAAGAAAAGUGGUGGUUAGGUUAUUAUUGCUUCUUCCUAAAGCUGGACAGUUGCUGUGUUCAUUUUCUUUCAAUCCUUUGGAAGACUCGAGGAUCAGCACCGAUCAAGAAAAGGAUCAAAUCUGCUUGUUGUACUUCAUGUUGCACAUGCUGCAUGUUUUUACGGUCUCGUUCCAACUCUCCCAGUCAUCAUCAUCCUCAUCCCAGUUGCAGAACUGUAAAGGUCUGUGGUCCUGUGACCAGCCACUCGUUUUACUUUGUUUAAAAGUCUGGGGACCUGAGACACACGCACACACACACACACACACACACACACUAAACUUCCAUAAGGUCUCAUCGUUUCAACACGGGCAGAGUGGUCCGGGAAGGGGCGGUCCAGAAGAGACGCUCUGUGUGGGGGGGGGGGCUAGAAAGUGCGUGUGGCCUUGUGCUACCUGUUGCUACGACGGUCCGUUGAGAAGGAGGACGAGCUGUAGAGUAGAAGUGCCUCGCUCAACAGACUUCCCUGGCACCCCUUCCCCGGAGAGGGCAGAGUGGAAGGGGCUCUCCACGGACUGACGUCUCCAACGCUAGAGGGGCGGGGGGGGUUGGGCUGUCCGUGCCGCACCGGCCCUCCAUCAGCAGAAAAUGACCUCUCCGUCGUCGUGGGGUUCAGACAUCACCAGGGCCUGGCCUUCCAAGAGACGGAGGAACCAAGAGAAGAGCGUUUACAGUCACGACGUGUGUGGUGGAUCUGACCGUCGCACUCGCUCCUGCUAAAGGCUGCAUGGGAUCCGGGAUAGCUCCUGAAGGCUGAUGUUUCUAAGUGUAAUCUGGGAUCCAUCAGGCCUAGUGUGUUGCACCAGCAGUAAGGGGGGAACCAAAAGCUCAAAGGGUCAUGGACACGGCUCGGUUCCUGUUAUAUUCCACAGAGGGGAAGCUCAUCACGAGGAUAAAGCUUUGAGAAGGGGUUUUAAUGAGUGUAUUUUUAUAGUGGCCAGUCUACCCACUGUACAUGUUAAACCUUAAUCGUUUUUUGAAUAGUUAACCAGUGCUGGCCACGGAUGGGUUCCCCGUUAAUAGCCAAUUUCCCGCUUACAGAUUCAGCAGCAUGAUUGGUUUAAACGAGCAUGAGACAUAAAAAAAAUGAGACGCCUCGUUCACAGGAGAUUUGAGCUGAUUCCUCUAAGGUCUGGCUCGUGAGGCCAAACCAAGCAGAACUAAAACAAGGAGGCAGAUUGAAUGGAAGAGUUUUUCUGUUUACGUUUUAAGUGGUACCUGUCUCUUCCCGCUCUCCUCCUUUCCCCUUCUUCUUCUUCUCCUUCUUGGGCUUGGUCUUGGCCAGCUGGAGCAGUCGGUUGGGGAGCUGGGCAUCCUUGUCCCCUCCCUGGGGCUUGGAUGACGAGGAGGGGGAAGGAUGGUGGCUCUGGGACACAAUUAUUCAACACUUAGCCUCCGGCACUUUUGGGAACAUUUUGUCCGGUGGCCAUGGUUGAAAACGGCCAAAAGAAAUGUCAGGCUUCAGCAGCCUCUCUUUUUUUCUAUAUAAAGUUGCCUGGGCUUUUCUGUGCCUUUACAGACCUGACAGUGAAGCGAGACAGAAAAGUAGAUUAAACAAGAGGGAGGAAUGAAAUGUCGCAAAGGAUCACAGGUGGGAAUCAAACCUCGGGGCACCACAAGACGUAUCGCUUAUGUGCUCAGCGCACCAGUGACGAUAUCUACCGAGGGGCCAGUUUCUGUCUCUUUCAAUGCAUCAACCUCGCUGGCUCUCCUUCUCCGUCAAGCUACCAUAUGUGUGCUGCCGGAGUAAGAACUAAGGCCCAAUCCCAUUUCUACCCCUAACCCCUCCCCCUUGUUUUGAAGGGGUAAGGGGAAGG